CUUCUUCCAAAGUCCGCUCGGCGCUCGGGGACCAGCUGCCCCCUUAUCACACACAAGCAGCCUCAGGGAGCCGACAGAGACCCACAGCGCCUGUCACCAGGCGGUGAGGCCAGCACUCCCGAGCCACCUGCUUUUCAAAAGGAUAAACAGACAACUCAGAACCCAGCCAGGCUCGGCCAGCCUGCUGUGGGUGUGCUUCAUCUGGGCCCAUUGUGUCCUGAGGGCUUCUGCUCUGGGCCAUCUGCCCUUCCCAUCUCAGUGUCUGCAGUGGAAGAUGCCCGGUGUGCGGAUUCCAGGAACACAGAACCUUGGAGGAGCUGGAAGAAGAAGAGAACGAGAGCAGGCCCCAGCUUGGUGUUUUCCUUCUCUGGAAUGCAGAGCUUUCCUGUGCUGAGCCGGGUCCCAGCAGUGGCCUGGGUUGAGGCCAAGCAGGAAACUGAAGAUUUUCUGUUUGGAGACGGUGAAUCUGACAGGUUCUGGAUUUGAGCAGACCUGGCAGAGCAGAAAAGUGAGAGUGAGGUGUCACAUUGCAAACAGAGAUCAAAUGAAAGUUGUUGUCCUCCACGGUGAGAACGCUGGCCCUCUUCCUUCACUUGGGUCUCAGAAAACUAACAACUAGCAUGAACUCUCCAGCAGAAGAUUAGUUGAUUCCUUUCUGAGGAAACCACCCAGCCCAAAUGAAAAGACUGCUCUCAUCCGUUCCUGUAAGAGCCCUGUGUUCUUGGAGCCCAAGCAACUGGCGUCCGGCAGGACCCAAGUGAGUGAGUCCGCUGAAGAGCUCUUGGUUCUCACCAUUCUGCAUAUCACCUGGGGAGCUUACAACCGACGUCCCACCUGUCCUUGAGGGUCCACCCACUCUGGGUUUCCCACUGCAUUUUGGGGAGGGUUCAAGACAAUUCAAUCUGAAUGUUAAAAAACGUGCAGAGUGCACUUGACACCUGGAUUAUACCUUUACGGAGAAAGCAGCCAAAUUUAAAAAGAGGAAUAUUUUUAAAAAUAAAUAAAAUUGCAGUCAUGUUAAGUGUACCCUA
rnacentral:lncRNA from 1 species